UAGACCCUUACUCCACAUCCGACUCUCUCUUUGGAGUUGAGCGAGGCGCACAGUUUCCAGUUGACUUGGCGUCAACGGGGUUUGUGCUCCUCUUGCCCCAAGGGCGCGGGCAAGGCCCUAGUCUGCGUACUUCGAGGCUGCCGUAUUUUCAGUCAUUGUGAAGGCAGUGGAAAGGAGACUUCUCCGGUCGAAGCUUUCCGGGAAAGUGGCUAGUGGCCCACACAAGCGCCUGACUCCUGACCCCCUCAGUCCAGGGGCUUAGCCCUUUUUCCCCAAGACCCGAGGACAGGUGCAAGAGAAGCACUUGAAUUAGAGGCUCGUCCCCCUUUUUUCUAAUGGAUUUCGGAGUUAGGUAUCCCCAGCUUAAGAAUAUCAGGCAAAUACCAUCUGUUAAAGGUUCAGUAGGCCUACUUGUAAGGUAAAGGCCACGCAGCUUCCCCAGGGCCCUGCUAGAUCUCAGGCGAUGAAUCUGGUCAAGGGUGACUUGUACAAGGUCUCAGAAUUGGAAAGUUCUCUACAAAUCUUCUCAUCUAGCAGGAAAGCUUUCAGUUUGCAGCUCAUUUCCAGAAUCUCCUUACAGCUAAUAAUUCAAAUGGCAAGCUCCAAGCUUCCAGGCCACAUGGUUCAUCUGCAAGGUUUUUUGAAUUGUCACAAAUCCCCCCUCCAAAUUUUCCAAUAUACUUAUUGAAAAAAGUCUAAAUAUAAAUGGAUUUGCAUAUAACAAAACAUCUGUUGUUUAAGAGUCAGCUGUACUUCCAGAUGAGAGUGGUGCUGUCUGGUGGAACUGAUGUGCUUGAAGGCAAGAGUGAGACUCUAGAAGAAUUCCUGAGGUCAAUCUAAAGACUGUUGAGGAGACUGGUCAUGAUCUCACGGUUCCGGAGUCCAAACGGUUCCAAUUUCUAGCCCUGCAUCCAGCUCCACGCUGGUGGUGUGGAUCCUGCUUGGGAUUCUAUCUCCCUCUCUCCUUGCC